GCCCCCUCCCACCCUUGGCCGGAAAUACCGCCUUCUCCCGCCACAAGCCGGAACUGACGUCCAAAAGCAAGCGAUGGACUCGCAGAGCGCGAGAGCGCAAGCGCAGGGAGGGGAAAGCGUUGGACUCAGAGCAGGACGCUAGUGUACGAGAGAAGUUACUAAGGCCGGCCCCAGAUGCUACUGUGUUGGGAAGAGCCUUUUAGAGUAUUUACCCUGUGGAUGUGCUCAUGGGAGCAAAAUGUGACAUAUACACAAGACACCAUUAAUGAUAGAAAAAGCCCUGGGACCCACUGGCGGUAGAUUGAAUCGUGUCCCCCACAAAGAUAUGUUCAAGUCCUAAGCCCGGGUCCUGUGGGUGUGAACUCAUUUGUCAUGGGGUCUUUGAGAAUCAUCUGAAGAUGAGGCCAAAAUGAAUCAGGGUGGGCCUUAAUCCCUUAUGACUGGAGUCCUUAUAAGCAAAGGACAUUUGGACAAGGAAGCCAGUAAAAGGAGGAGACAAAAGGAGACAUCACCAUGUGAUGGAGGCAGAGAUUGAUUGCCAGCAAGCCAGCACCAGAAGGCUACAGAUUUUGGAGAAGGCAUGGCCUGCCAGUACCUUGCUUUUAGACCUCUGGCCUCCAGACUGUGGGCCAAUGAAUUGUUUAAGCCAGUUUGUGGUAUUUGUCAUAGCAGCCCUGGCAAACUAAGGCGCUGUCUAAGUGUCCAUGAUAGGACUGGUUAUACACAUCAUGGUACAUCCACACAAGGGAAUACUAUGCAGUCAUUUGAAAAGGAAGCUAUCUCCAAUAAGUAUAGGAAAAGAUGUCCAACAUCAUCAGUCAUAAGGGAAAUGCAAGCCAAAACCUCAAUGAAAUAACCACUUCACACCCUCUAGGAUGGCUAUCAUUAAAAAGAUGGGCAAUAAUAAGCAUUGGCAAAGAUGUGGAGAAAUUGGAACCCUCAUAUAUUGCUGAUGGGGGGAAGGAAAAUAGCACAACUGCUUUGGGUAAUAGUCUGGCAGUUCCUCAAAUGGUUAAACAUACUUACCAUAUGAUCCAGUAAUUCCACUCCUAGGUACACACCCAAGAGAAAUGAAAACAUAAGUCCACACAAAAACUGAAAUAUGAAUUCUCAUAGCAUUAUACAUAAUAGCCAAAAAGUAGAAACAACCCAGUGUUCAUCAACUGAUAGAUAAACAAAACGUGCUAUAUCCAUACAAUGAAAUAUUUGGCCAUCAAAAAAAUGAAGUCCUGAUACAUGUUACAAGAUGAAUGAACCUUGAAAAACAUUACACUAAGUAAAAGAAUCCAAACACAAAAGACCACAUAUUGUAUAACUCCAUUUAUAUGAGCUUCCCAGAAUAGGCAAGUCUACAAAGACAGUAGAUUAGUGGUUGCCUAGGGCUGGGGGAGA